AAGCUUGCUUAACAGCAUGUAUACUAAAACUGGAACAAUACAGAGAAAAUUAGUACGGUCCCAGCACAAAGAUAAAAUGCAAUUUUUUCAUGUUUUCUGUACAUUU
ensembl:snRNA U6 U6 spliceosomal RNA